AGUGAACGCUGGCGGUAGGCCUAACACAUGCCAGUCGAACGGCAGCACAGUAAGAGCUUGCUCUUACGGGUGGCGAGUGGCGGACGGGUGAGGAAUACAUCGGAAUCUACUUUUUCGUGGGGGAUAACGUAGGGAAACUUACGCUAAUACCGCAUACGACCUACGGGUGAAAGCAGGGGAUCUUCGGACCUUGCGCGAUUGAAUGAGCCGAUGUCGGAUUAGCUAGUUGGCGGGGUAAAGGCCCACCAAGGCGACGAUCCGUAGCUGGUCUGAGAGGAUGAUCAGCCACACUGGAACUGAGACACGGUCCAGACUCCUACGGGAGGCAGCAGUGGGGAAUAUUGGACAAUGGGCGCAAGCCUGAUCCAGCCAUACCGCGUGGGUGAAGAAGGCCUUCGGGUUGUAAAGCCCUUUUGUUGGGAGAGAAAAGCAGCAGGUUAAUACCCCGCUGUUCUGACGGUACCCAAAGAAUAAGCACCGGCUAACUUCGUG
rnacentral:rRNA from 1 species